rnacentral:tRNA from 1 species
GGCUCAGCGGCCGAGUGGCUAAGGCAUCCGACCUGUUAUCUGGAGACCCAGGUUCAAUGCCUGGCUAAGUCA